CCCAUCUGGGAGUGAUGAGAGACAAUGACGCCCGAAGUGUUGCUUAUGCACAGGGUGUUUGGUCUCUACGUGGCGAAGCAGUUUGAAGACUUAAUUGCCUCAUUAACGAGUCGGUCACCAUAUCGUGCAGAGCGGGCUUGGAAUGUGGGAAUCACCUACCGGGAUAAAUACAUUCUCCUUUUCCCCUUCGCAGUAUCCGUCUCAAGGCAACCGUUGCAACAGUUGGACCCAUAGACAUAAAUACGUAGAUGCAUUGAGAGCUGAGUCCUAUGUUACGUCGCCGCCAUCUUGUAUGUGGCAGUAGAGCGGUCGGAGCUCCCCAAGUCAUGUGCUGUGUACUCUUGUUUCAACCAUUUUACAAGACAAACUGGAUUCAUUGGCAAUAGAUUCCACAGGUAAGGAUGGAAAAAAAAUAAUAAUGCAAUUUUUACAAGCAGAACUACUUGGCUGUUGUAAAUGUGGCGGGAUGGUGUUCCACCUUCCCAACUAUGUGCACCAGGUGUAUCAAGUAGCGUGCAGUUGAUUGGUGGGCGGGGCAAAUGGCUUUAUAGCUGAGCAGGCCGCUGCCAGGUGUGUGUCUUUGGCUGCCCAAGUGGCUGGUGUGCUUGAUCCGCUCAUCUGAAUUGUAAGUGCCAUUUUGUACCAUCUGGCUGGGAUUGUGGUUAGGUUUUGGUGCUAUACCUGCCGUGCGUUUCUGCAGCGUUGCUCGGCUGGCGUUAGCGGCUGCAGCUGGAGGUUGUUGCGGCGUGCGGCUUCCAUCUAGCCCUCGCUUGCUGAUCCGCUCUCUCCCUGGGUCGGCUGUGCUACUACUCCUGGGAUUGUUUGGGAGUUGCAGCGCUUGGACGCUCUGCUGUCUUGUCUUGUCGGUGUUUGUUUGGGCCGCUCUGAAGGCAACCUGUUGCUGAUUGGACAGGCUGAGCGAGCGGGGCACGACUCCUCUGGCCCAUUUGAAGGGCACUGAAAUUGGACAAUGACGAUUUGUUCCACCGUUUAAAGUGUUUGUGUUUUUUUUUUCCUUUUACAGUUUGUUUGCUUAUUAUUGAACUUAUGAGUUUGCUUUUUUUGUUUUGAUUUACUAAUUUGUUUUCUUUGGCAUUACAUGUUUUGUUUGUUCAUUUAUUUUUUUGGAAUAAUUCAAGUUGUCACUUUUAUUUCACAUGAUCCCUUUUCAUUUCCAGGGACAGAGUAGUGGGCCCGAAGCCAUGCUUUUAAAAAGAAAUGUUUUAAAUGAAAUUGUUUAAAUAAAAUAUUGUGAACUAUUCUGUGUUCUGGUGCAUCUUGUUU